UGGGGAAUAUUGGACAAUGGGCGCAAGCCUGAUCCAGCCAUGCCGCGUGUGUGAAGAAGGCCUUCGGGUUGUAAAGCACUUUUGUCCGGAAAGAAAAGCUUCGGGUUAAUACCCCGGGGUCCUGACGGUACCGGAAGAAUAAGCACCGGCUAACUUCGUGCCAGCAGCCGCGGUAAUACGAAGGGUGCAAGCGUUACUCGGAAUUACUGGGCGUAAAGCGUGCGUAGGUGGUUUGUUAAGUCUGAUGUGAAGCCCUGGGCUCAACCUGGGAAUUGCAUUGGAUACUGGCAGGCUAGAGUGCGGUAGAGGAUGGCGGAAUUCCCGGUGUAGCAGUGAAAUGCGUAGAGAUCGGGAGGAACAUCUGUGGCGAAGGCGGCCAUCUGGACCAGCACUGACACUGAGGCACGAAAGCGUGGGGAGCAAACAGGAUUAGAUACCCUGGUAGUCCACGCCCUAAACGAUGCGAACUGGAUGUUGGAGC
rnacentral:rRNA from 1 species